rnacentral:rRNA from 1 species
GACGAACGCUGGCGGCGUGCCUAAUACAUGCCAGUUGAGCGCUGAAGGUUGGUACUUGUACCAACUGGAUGAGCAGCGAACGGGUGAGUAACGCGUGGGGAAUCUGCCUUUGAGCGGGGGACAACAUUUGGAAACGAAUGCUAAUACCGCAUAAAAACUUUAAACACAAGUUUUAAGUUUGAAAGAUGCAAUUGCAUCACUCAAAGAUGAUCCCGCGUUGUAUUAGCUAGUUGGUGAGGUAAAGGCUCACCAAGGCGAUGAUACAUAGCCGACCUGAGAGGGUGAUCGGCCACAUUGGGACUGAGACACGGCCCAAACUCCUACGGGAGGCAGCAGUAGGGAAUCUUCGGCAAUGGAUGAAAGUCUGACCGAGCAACGCCGCGUGAGUGAAGAAGGUUUUCGGAUCGUAAAACUCUGUUGGUAGAGAAGAACGUUGGUGAGAGUGGAAAGCUCAUCAAGUGACGGUAACUACCCAGAAAGGGACGGCUAACUACGUG